ensembl:lncRNA
UUUCGACAUCGCCUUUCAUUCCGUUCCUGCACUGAGAUGUCGCAGCAACUAAAACUAAACGUUACCGGGAUAAAAGAAGCAGCGUUAAUCGAUCAGGAGGAAUCAGAUCGAUGAGAAGGUGAUCAUUAAUGAUCAUCAGCUGAAUCUGAGGCGACGUUAUGGCUUCAUCAGGAACCGUUACGGAUGAACCUCUGAAGCGCAGCAGCAGCUCUGAAUUACUGCAUCCAACCACUAACUGUAGCAUUGAUACGGCCAAGACACCAAAGCCCACCUCCUGGACUGUUCAAUGAAAUGUCAGCUGGUUUCACAGUUCUUGGUGGAGUGAGUUUCUGAAAGGAGUCCUCACUUACCACAUUGACAUCAGCUCCUGUGUUUAUUUUGAAUUCCAUCUGGG